rnacentral:rRNA from 2 species
UACGUAGGUGACAAGCGUUGUCCGGAUUUAUUGGGCGUAAAGCGAGCGCAGGCGGUCUUUUAAGUCUGAUGUGAAAGCCCACGGCUCAACCGUGGAGGGUCAUUGGAAACUGGAAGACUUGAAUGCAGAAGAGGAAAGUGGAAUUCCAUGUGUAGCGGUGAAAUGCGUAGAUAUAUGGAGGAACACCAGUGGCGAAGGCGACUUUCUGGUCUGUAAUUGACGCUGAGGCUCGAAAGCGUGGGGAGCGAAC